AUCCAGCUGACGAGUGCCAAAUAGGACGAAACGCGUGUCCUGGAU
rfam:Schistosoma haematobium scaffold1327_5, whole genome shotgun sequence.